CGUCAAAUCAUCAUGCCCCUUAUGUCUUGGGCUUCACGACAUGCUACAAUGGCCGGUACAAAGGGCUGCGAUACCGCGAGGUGGAGCGAAUCCCAGAAAGCCGGUCUCAGUUCGGAUUGGGGUCUGCAACUCGACCCCAUGAAGUCGGAGUCGCUAGUAAUCGCAGAUCAGCAACGCUGCGGUCGAAUACGUUCCCGGGCCUU
rnacentral:rRNA from 1 species